GCCUGGGUGGCUCAGUGGUUGAGCGUCUGCCUUUGGCUCAGGUCAUGAUCCCAGGGUCCUGGGAUCGAGUCCCGCAUCAGGCU
rfam:Canis lupus familiaris chromosome 1, whole genome shotgun sequence.